UACGGAGGAUCCGAGCGUUAUCCGGAUUUAUUGGGUUUAAAGGGUGCUCAGGCGGGCCAUUAAGUCGGCGGUGAAAUUUUGCGGCUCAACCGUAAAAGUGCCUUCGAUACUGUUUUUCUUGAGUAUGGUUAAGGUAGGUAGAAUGUGCAGUGUAGCGGUGAAAUGCAUAGAGAUUGCACAGAAGGCCGAUUGCGAAGGCAGCUUACUGAACCAUAACUGACGCUCAUGCACGAAAGCGUGGGGAUCAAACAGGAUUAGAUACCCG
rnacentral:rRNA from 1 species